GGGAAAGGCAAAAGAGCGAGCUACCUCAGUUUACAAAUAUGUCAAACAAAGUAUUGGCCUUUUGUGCAACAAGUGCCCCACGGAAAUGUUACACGUGAAGUUGUAAAGAUGAACAUAUCUGAUAAACAACAUACUGCUUUGCUUGGUUGCCUGGAUAGGAUGCACAGAUGCAAGUGAGAGAGAAAUGCCAAAACACUAGAGUCAGUGUCAUCGUCAAUGCAACCAGGCUACCAG
rnacentral:lncRNA from 1 species